AUAAGGGAGAUAAAAAAACUGAAGGGAAAGAAGCUUCCACGGAGGGGGGGAGGGGGAGAGGAGGGAGGGGUCCCUCUCUCACUCAGGGUUGGGUAGAUACUGGAGAUAGGGGGUUUGGGGAGCCUUGGACUGGGGACCCUCAAUAGAUGGGGGGGUUUGGGGAGCCUUGGACUGGGGACCCUCAAUAGGGACUGGAAGCCAACCCUAACCUAAUGGCAGCCCCUGCAGAUAUGGAUGCAGGCAGCCAUGGCUUUACACCAGGGCCUUGGGAAGAUUGUUUUGACAGCUGUGGUCUAAUGGGUUGAGUCUAAAAAUUAGCCGGAUCUCCAGUUGAGUGAUGCAAGAAUCCAAAGGAGAGAUCCUAAGGACCAGGACCAGGAGAGGAAAAAAAAAAGGGGGGGGGGGGGAUUUAACUGGUGUUCAUAGGACAGCAUCCACCAUCUACCUAUGGCUUUAGGGUAUGGAGCCAGUUAUUCCCAAAGGUUUCAUAGAGGCACUGUGGCUUGACUAAAUUCCAGGCACUCAAAAGAUAAUUUGGAAAAGUAUAUUCUUCUUGCCCUUUCAGGAGCUUGAGUGAUCUCACUGAAAGGAGCAAGAGGUACAUGAAAUAAUAGCAGAUGGGCUGUGUGAUUAAGUGCCAGGACUGACAAUUACUAUAGUUCAGAGCCCAGACUAGUGGGAGUCCUCUCAGAAGGUGGUAGAGGAGAAGUGGAACUUGAACUAGGCCCUAAAGUAGGAUUUAGAAGCCCAGUAAGAGCACUGCUGAUGGGGAGAACCAGAACAAAGGCAGGAAGUGAGCAUAGGAUGUUCAGGAGGACUCCAUCCCCUAAAACAGGGUCUGAUUUAACAAAACUCACAGGCAUUCCUAUGAUGUCCAAGUCAGUAGUGGGAAACGCAUGAUCUAGGAUGAUUGAAAGGGAUCUCACACUGAACCAGGAAGCAGGAAGAGGUGGGUUUGAAUGUUCCCUGGAAUAUUAUGUAACCCUGGACAAGUCACUUAAUCUUCAACAUUGAUUUCAUCUGUAAAAUGGGGUUGAUAGUAGUACAAAGUUUUUUUCAGGAUCAAAUGAAAUGAUGGAAAGUGUUUAACAAAACUUAAUAUGCCAGAGAAGUAUUCACUAUUUGAUAUUCAGGUGGAGGAAACCCUAGAGCUGUAUUGACAAACCUAUGGCACCUGUGCCAGAAGGGGCUGCUACCCUCUCCCUAUGCUCCUGAGGACAUUUUUCACAUGCCCUUCCCCUUUGGUCAACAGCCUAUUAGUAACUCCUCCUCUGUCUGGGGUAAGCUCACGUGACAGGAAGGCUCAAUUUUGGGCAGUGGAUCUCUAAAAGGUUUACCAUUGCUGCCCUAUAAGUCUAGUCCAUCUUCAUUUUCCAGAAGAGAAAACAUGAAGCAGAAUUGCAAAAAACUUUCAAGGCCAGGUUGUUUGGAAUCUGAUCUUUAUAGGAAAUACAAAGGCUAUUUAGCAACAUUUUUAACAGAUUGUGAGAUGAGCUAAAAAGAGACUUCUGAUAGCAGCCUGUAGAAUGAAUUUUGAGAUUGUGGCAGGAAGACUAGUAAAGAGGCUAUUGUUAUAAUCUAGGUAUGAGAAGAAGGAUCAGGAUCUGGUGGUAACCUCAAAGAGAAAAGUCUUUACUACACAUUUUCUUUAGUAGUUGCCCUAAAGGAUAACAAAAAAGUGUUUUGUUUUUUUUUAGGGAGGUGUCCUGAGAGAAUUCUGGAAGUUCCCUAGGAUGAUCUCUAGGCCAGUGAUGGCGAACCAUUUAUAGAGAUGAAGUACCAGGCCCUGCCCUCGCCCUCCCUCCAUGACUGUUGUGUCCCACCCCCCUCUCAUCCUCCACCACUCCCCCUUCCUCCUGACAUGCCUACUGGGCAGGGGAGGGAGCAUGUAAUGAGAAUUGUGUGUGGAGAGGUAGAGGAAAGUGGCCCCAGCACUCUGCUCCACUCUAGCUUCAUUCUCAUCCAGCUAGGUGACAUGCUGUGAGCUAUGCUUCCCUUAAACCUUGCUCCUCUCCAACCCCACCACAGGAAUCACCUUCACCACAGACUCAGUAGGUUGCUAUCUGCACCAAACCCUCACAUAGCCACCUCGCCUCCCCUACCACCCUGCACCUCACCCCAGAUAAUGGAGGGUAUAAGUGUUCCCAUUGGGUUGCCAGGCAGAGGGGCAGGUAAAAUGAGGAAUUGCCUCAGAUACAUGGAGAGGGGGAGUGGAACAACUCCACCCCGAGUCCCUCUGACUUUCUAGUAAACUGGUAGGAGAUACAGGCAUGCCCACAGAGCAGGCUCUGUGUGCCAUCAGUUUACUAUCAUGGCUCUAGGCCAAUUCAUUCUCCACAACAUUAACAUUAUUUGCAAGGAGAAAAACGUCCUUAGUGCUUGACACAUAGUAGGCACUUAAUGUUUAUGGGUAUAUCCAUGUCUGUUUACCUACUUCCAAGAAGCCGCCUAAUGUCCUCAUUUUAUGAAAAAGCUUUGCUUUCUGGGAUAUUAUUGGAGGAAUUUUCAUGUAUAUGUCCUACCAAGAUCACGAGGUACAAAGGAAGAUUAGAAUUAUAAAAAUAUUUAGGUACUUCAAGGAUCCAUGGUUUCACCAAUAGGCAUAUGUCCUCCCCUGAGGUAGAUCACAACCAUGAUGUCUUGUAAUUGCUAUGGCCAAAAAUACUGACCAUCUGAUGACCAACAUUCUGGUAAACUUUUCUAAACCUGUCAUUCUCUAAUGGCACAUUUUACAAACUGAAGUCGGGUCUACAUUGGAAGCCUUCCUAGUUUGAUAGCAUGUGCCCUUUGAGAAUCUAAAUCUUCCCCCCACAAUGAAAAUUCAGACUAGAACCUUAAUGAAACAAAGAACUCGGUUCAAAUCCAACCUCUGACAUUACUUACUUUGCCUCAAACAAGUCACUUAAUUUCAAGAGCCUCUAUAAAGUGAGAAUAUUGGUUAGACUGCCUCUGAAGUCCUUUCCAGCUAUUGGUCCAGGAUCUUGCAAUAUUGUUCUCUUAUUUAUCUUUUUAUACUUCUCUUGAAUUUUGUAUUUGGAUAUCAGUUUUUCUGUUUAGAGCUGAUCUUCAAGAAUGCUUAGAAAUCUAUUUUAAACAACCAUAUUUUCCCCUUUAAGAACAUAGUCAGUUUUAAUGGAUACCUAGGUGAUUCUUGUUUAUAAACCCAGUUCCCUUUGUCUUCCUGAAUAUCAUCUUCCAAGCCUUCUGAUCCUUCAACGUAGAAGCUGCCAGAUCUUGUAUAAUCCUGACUGGGGCUCCAUGAUUUUUUAAUUGUUUCUAUAUGUUUGCAAUAUUUUCUCAUUGACCUAGGAGCUCUAUAACAUUCUUCAGAGUUGUCAUUUGGGGAUUUAUUACAAGAGGUGAUCUGUGAAUUCUUUUCAUUUCUAUUUUAAACUGUAAUUCAAGAAUAUCUGGGCAGUUUUAUUUGAUAAUUUCUUGUAAUAUGUCUAGCCUUUUUCUUUGAUCACAACAUUUAGGUAGUCCAAAAAUUCUUAGAGUGUCUCCUGGAUCUGUUUUUUAUGUCAAUUCAUUUUUUUAAUGAGAUACCUCAUUUUCUAUUUUUUCCAUUCUUUUCAUUUUUUGUCGCUUGAUGUCUCAAAGUCAUUAGCUUCUAUUUGCCCAAUUCUGAUUUUUAAAGACUGAUUUUCUUCAAUGACCUUUGCAUUUGAUCCAUUCUACUUUUUAUGAAACUUCAGAUUUUUUAACUUUUUACAGUAGGUGAAUUCUGUUUUUUUUUUUAGGAACUCUUCUUUGAAUUUUCCUACAAUCCUUUAUUCUGUAGAUACUGAUAUAAAAUAUAUUUAGAAUACUUACCAGCAUUUUUCUUAAUUUUUACAUUCCAUGGCUCCAUGAUAGUAUCAGUAAUAUUGUUGUUCCUAUGUUAAAAAAUUAGGAUAACCAUAGCUCACAUUUAAUUCUAUAUAGUUCACAAAUGUUUUCCCAAAAACUCACUGCAGUAGGCCAAAGUUGAUACACUCAUUUUGUAGAAGAUAACCAAGGCUCAGAGAAAUCAAGUGGUUUGCUCAGUCACACAACCAUCAGAAUCACACAGGCCAACUCAAUGCUGUCACAUGAUAAAUAUAUUUAAAAGUUCUUAACUUAUAAUACUAUACCUCAUCAAUUUUAUUCCUUUGUACCUUGUGACCUUGGUAGGAAAUAUACAUGAAAAUUUCUCUACCCUUUUCCUAAUAGAAUCCCAAAAAGCAAAGCCUUUUUCAUAAAACCUGCUUGCCUCAUUACUUUUCUACAGAAAGUAACUGGAGGCAAAGUUCAGUUGCCAGUCCUUUGUGGAGUUUCUACCCUUCUUGAACCAGUCAAAAGACUUUGCCUUCAGGAUUUGUUUUGGGAGCUUUGCCAAAAAGUUCCAGAUCACCAUAUUUAUGAUGGAUCCGAUAAAAUCUUAAGACUAUAUAACUUCAAGACCUAGUUUAUGGUAUUCUAGCAUUGACUUAUGAGAAGGCAUAAGCUAGCAUAAAAUAAGCAUAUAUCCAUUUCUCUUCCCAUUGCUUCAGUCUCUUUAGAGACUUGUAUAAGUAGAUAAUAUAGCCAUAACCAACAUUUCAAUAGUAAUGUAAAAUUUACAGAUCACUUUACAUGCAUUAUCUCAUAUGCCUAUCACAAUAAUAGGUAUAGAUAUUAGAUAAGUAUAGGAUAUCAGUAGCCCCAAUUGGGGAGAAAAACUCAGAGACUACAUAUCAUUUACCUCAGGCCACACAGUCAGAAGGCAGUUCUGUUUGGUGGUGGUGGUUGGUUCAGGUUUGUUUGGGGUUUUUUUGCCUUUGUAUCUCCAAUACUUUGGAUGCUUAAAUGUUCUAGCAAUUGUUGAAUGGAAUUAGAUAUGUUUAUGGAUUAGAUGAAAACCUAUUGCUGGUUGAAUAGUCAGGAAGCAUCUCUGGGACUCUUAUUGUUGAAGAACCAGUCUAGUUAAAUAACUGAUCCCACAAAUCCCUGGCAGGGCAGAGCUUGGUGUUACACAGUAGCUUCUACAAGAAUCCUUAUGUUACAAUUAUAACUUAUAUUGACAUCUGCUGUUAGUAACACUUUCCAGGUUCUUUGUUGCCUCUUCAGUGUCAUCUUUGGGUCCCUACUACUAAGUGGUCUAGUGAGAUGGGUCUCCAAAUCUUUAUGGGAAAAGAUCUGUUUUUAUCUGAAUAUGGCAAUCCUAAUUUGAUCUGUUGUGGGCCCAGAGAACCCAGAUGAAAGAGUAUGUUCCUGAAUUAGCUAAAUAUUACCACUCUUUCAUUUUAGCACUGGAAGCUUGGCAUAAGUGUGGCCCUAAAAACUGUGUUUUAAAGCUACAAAAUUCCUAAAUCUCUUUAGUAUUUAUUUUUAGUCAAUACUGUGUAUUGGCUCUAAGGCAGAAGAAUGGUAAGGGCUAGGCAAUGGGGGUCAAGUGACUUGCCCAGGGUCACACAGCUGGGAAGUGGAUGAAGCCACAUUUGAACCUAGGACCUCCCAUAUCUAGGCUUGGCUCUCAAUCCACUCAGCUACCCAGCUGCCCCCUCUUUAGUAAUUUUUAAUGGCCUUGGAAAGAAGGAAAUAAGCCUUUAUUAAGAGCCCACUAUAUAUGCCAGGGAUAGUAGUAGACAUUUUACAAAUACCCCACUUGGUCCUUGCAACAUACUUGGGUGAUGGGUAUUAUCUCGAUUUUACAGAUAAGAAAACUGAGAGCUAAUGUGUGUCAGGUCCCAGGUUCUAGCCACUGUGCCACCAAACUGCCUCUAUCCGACUUUUGGGUAGAUUAAAAAACAUUUUUUUGAGCUCCAAUGGGAGCUCAAGCCAAUGACAAAAGAGACAUCCCAAACCCUCAGGGUCAAGAUACCCUCAAACCUCAUAGUACAUAUGUAUGUACCUUGCCUAGCUCUGGGAGUGAGCCAGAGCUAACCUGCGACAGCUUUAAUACAAAGUAACACAUGAAAAGCAUUGUAAAGAGAUCAUACAAAACAAAAUGCUAUGUGAAGUUAGAGGGGAAAGGUUGGGUGAAGGUCAUUGUCAAAUUGGGAUCAGGAAUCAAAAUUUCAUGGAGGAGUACCAGUUUCAGCCUGAGUGGGAGACCCUCAGGGGAAUGACAGUCCACUUCAGGUGGGAGAUAACUCUUUGAGGUGACUCUUUGGCACAGUAGGUAGUGCAUCAGUCUUGAAAGCAGAACGUCCCGACAGGACAAGAGUCACUUGACUUCAGAUUGGGUUUAUCUCCCACCUGAAGUGGAUUGUCAUUCCUCCGAGGGUCUCCCACUUGAGCUGAAAUUGGGAUUCCCUUCAGGGUAGAUUCCCAUGGGAAAAGGGAACAACUAUAAGCUUUGGGGUCUCCAACCUACAAGCUAGUCCUUAAAAUUGGGGUUCAUCAGAUCUCACUAGAUCACAAGUUUGGCAUUCCUAGAUUCCAUGCUGACAAUUCCUUCACUAAAUUUGUAUUCAUUGUAAAAAAGAACGAUAUCCAUAUCCAGAGAAGAACUGUGGGAGUAGAAACACAGAAGAAAAACAUAUCAAUCACAUGGUUUGAUGGGGAUAGGAUUGAGAAUUCUGACUUUAAAUGACCACUAUUGCAAAUAUUAAUAAUAUGGAAAUGGGUUUUGAACAAUGAUACAUGUAUAACCCAGUGGAAUUGCUCACCAGCUCCAGGAUGGGGGGAGGGAUAGAACAUGAAUCAUGGAAACAUGGAAAAAUACUUUUUUAAAAAUUUGUGUUCAGUUGUCAUCCUGGCAUGGAAGUAGUAACCCAGGGUUAUCAAUGGCUAAACUAAGAGUACAAGCCCUUGUCUACCAAACUGUCUUCCAAGCCAGGCUUAGAAAUGUACUCCAGGCCCAUUUUCUAAGCCUAUCUUAGCCCAGGAGGAACCAAAUAGGUUGGCUACAGGGUGAUAAACUUUUUGGCCAUGUUCUCUCUGGAUGGCAUUAAAAUCUGUGCAGUGACCUACACUCUCGGUAGAUUUCCCUAUGUGCUUCCUCCCUCCACCCCCCAUUAUUAACAAAGCUUUUCAGGCCAGUUGUGUUAUAAUAACACUGAAGUGAUACUGACCAAAAUGUAGAAAUGGCCUGCUUUUUGAAGUGUGAAAGACCUAAAAUGUGCUGGUCAGCCUCAGCCUUACAAAGAAAGGAAAUUGUCAAGAACCUGACUAGUUUUGGGAACAGCCAGCUUUUGGGUGUCAUUCGUGUCCAGCCUAAUAGAAAUCCGAGUUUCUUUUCUAUGUUUCAAGAGUACCUCAUACGUGCCCUUCAUUUUAGUUAAAAAAUGAGCUCGUCAGUAUCCUUGGCCUGCUAUUCUCAAUUUGAUCAUCACAGAUUUCUCAUUUAAAUAAUUUAAAGAUCUUGAAUGGAUGGUAUCUUUUAUUCAGCAUGAUGUGAAACACUUUACAAACUGAUUAUCAAACUAUUGCUCAGAGCCCCUAAUUAUCUGACUUCUUGCCAACUGAAGCAUAAUCUCAUUCUCUCUGUUGGUAAUGCAUAUUCCAUAAUGCCUCUUUCCCACUGAUGGGAAAUUUGUAUAGUAGUUAGCAAUUUCCCUUGCAAUGCUACUCUCCAUAACAGUGGUUGCAAAGAUAUUUAGGACAGAGAAGAAGAGUAAAGAAUACUGUCUCUACUUGAUGGUAGUUCACUGAAAUUUGGGUAUGUUGGAAAUAGUUCCACAAGUGGUCAGACCUUGAAUUAAUUUCUCAAUUAAGAGUGUUCAUCUGCCCAGCUCCAUCCUAUAUUAGUGGUUUACUAUUUAAGUAUUUACAUCUUUUUCCUUAUCUUUGAGUUCUAAGAACUUCAUCUAAAGGUCUACUAAAUUGUUCAACUGAAAGUGGGAAGGGUUAUGGAAAGAAAUAGAUCCUGAAUCCAUUUUUCUUGUGUUGCUAUUCCACUAUCUUAAAUUAGUAAAGGAAUGUACAAGCUAUCUGGAUGACCUCUGGAGUCAUGUCCAACUCUAAAUCUAAAAUCCUCUGACCUAUCAAUACCUCUAAUAUUUAGAUUUAUAGGCGGGGAAUACUGGGAAGAUUUCCUAGGUAAGGCAGAAUGAUUCUGGGUAGAGUGGAUAGAAUAAGUUUUGCACCCUAACUACAGAGGCAGGAAGGAAAAUGUGGAGAGUAUCCAUAUAAAAGACAAACAGAGCAGCCUAAGAGAGGAAGGAAGAAUGACGACUGGGGGAGGGUGGGAUAAGGUCCUGGUGAGACAAGAAGGUUCAUUUGAAAAGAUUGGCACAUAAAGGAAAAAUAGAAAAGAAUAAAGGACUUCAAGAUUUUUUAAAAAUUCUAUUGUCUCCUAAUUUUUCCUAGCCAGGAAGGUAAGUAGGUCGCCUGUGUAGAACACGUAGGCUUCCUGUGCUGUGUUUGCAUGUACUUCUAGUACAGAAGCCCCUACUCUGAAUACUGAGAAUACAAAGACAAAAUAUCAUCCUGUUCCCAAGGAGCUUACCUUCUGUUAGGGGAAAACAUAUAUAUUUUUUUUAAACCCUUACCUUCCAUCUUGGAGUCAAUACUGUGUAUUGGCUCCAAAGCAGAAGAGUGGUAAGGGCUAGGCAAUGGGGGUCAAGUGACUUGCCCAGGGUCACACAGCUAGGAAGUGUCUGAGGCCAGAUUUGAACCUAGGACCUCCCAUCUCUAGGCCUGGUUCUCAAUCCACUGAGCUACCCAGCUGCCCUGAAAACAGAUAUUUUUAUAUGUAUAGACUAACAUGUAAACUACUUGAACAUGAGAAAUGCUUAACCCAUGAAAUUCAGAGGAAUGUAUUUAUACAUUUAAGGAUUAUUUAAUCUCCAUAAAACUUUUUUCAUCGGGAUAAAAGGUUAGCCUAGAUCUGUGUUUGUGAAGAUGUGGCAGGUGUGCCCCAGUGUGCUAGAAAGGACUGCUCCAUUCCCCCUCUCCACCAGGCAGGAGGAUGUUUUUUGCAUACCCCACCCCUCCACCCAGGUACCCAAUGCAAGCACUUCUUUCCUAAAUUGUUUGGGGUAAUUUGGAGGGCCUCACAGAUAGUCUGAAGGUGCAGUUUGGGCACUGGAUCUCUAUAAGUGUCAUGAUAGGUGGCCUAGAUGUCCAGAGGCCAGUUUGUACAAAUUCAGGAGGGUCUUUUUCAGCCAUGGAAUUUGGAGUGUUACUUUGUGCAGUGGUUUCCUGACUUUCAUUAACAAUUGGUAAAGAAACAGUUGACUAAGUCCUUUCUCUGCCCCUAAUUGAUCCCCCUAUACAUAAAGGAGUUGGACUAGAUGACUUCUAGGAUCUUUUCCAGAUUUUAAUAUUCUAUCAUUUGAUGAUUGAAUGUCCUAAUAGCCAAAAAGUUUUGGAAAAACUUGGCAAUAGAUACAAAAAAUACUUUAUUAAAUGAUUUUCGUUACUGCUCAGUUAUUUUCGAUCAUAUCCAAUUCUUUAUGACCCCAUUUGGGGUUUUCUUGGCAAAGAUACUGGAGAGGUUUGCAUUUUCCAGUUCAUUUAACAUAUGAGGAAACUGAGGCAAACAGAACGACUUGCCCAGGGUCACAUAGCUUGCAUUUGUCUAUAGCUGGUUUUGAACUAAGGAAGAUGCUCUACUUGACUCAAGACCCAGUACUAUCCAUUAUGCCCACCUAGAUGUCAUUUAUGACUUGAAAAUGAAGAGCACCUGUGAUUUCAUCUGUAUGAGGACCUCUCAGUGAGGAAAAUCACCCAUGCAGAUAAGGCAGCUAAACUGUAAUUAGGGAGUCUUAGAGAGUUGCCCAGGGGCACUUGUCUGUGGUCACUAAGUAAAUAUAUGUCAGAGGCAAGACUGAAGCUCAAGUCUUCUUGACUCGAGUUAACCCUUUCUCCUUUAUGCCACAUGGCUUCUACAAAGAAACACUAUCUAGUAAUUUCAAGGUUAGGCUUGCAGCCUAUUCCUGAACUGAUAGCUGGAUAGUAUACCUGGACCAUAUUUAUUCUUUCUUGGCCACAUAGUGGAUGAGGAAGGAGGGCUAGAAUCUAGUGUAGGCUCUGGAUGAAUGUCUUAAUUUAUUGGGAUAAGCAUUAUCAUUCAUCUGGGCAUCAGGGCUCCUCCCUUACCUUCUAAGUGAUGUUGGGCAAAUUAUUUAAUCUCCAUAAAUCUCACUCUCGCAUCUGGAAAAUAAGGGGUUAGCUUCGAUCCACAGCCUCAAACCAAAAAGAACAUGCUGAAGGAGGCUGCUCCCUUUCCCCUCUCCAUGUGCACCUGGGGACAUUUCUCACAUGACUGGCACCUCUGCCCAGCAGCCCAAUGGAAGUGCUUUUUCCAUCCCCUGUCUGGGGUGAAGUGGGGCUCACAUACUGUGUGAGGGUUACAGUUUUGCCUUCAGUCUCUAGAAGGUUCACCAUUACUGGCUUGGAUGGUCCAGAGGCCCCUAUGUACAAGUUCAGUAGGAUCUCCCUUUUUUUUUCAGCCAUGAAAUUUUCAGUGUUCCUUUUGUGGGGUGCAGUGGUUUCUUUCAGAAAGUGGCCCAUUGUAGUCCAGUUGUAGUUAUUUAAAAAAACAAACAACCUUCCAUCUUGGAUUAGUUCUGGGGCAGAAGAGUAGUAAAAGCUAGGCAAAUGGGCUUAAGUGACUUGCCAAGGGUUAUAUAGCUAGGAAAUAUGAGUGCAAAUUUGAACCCCAGGACUUCCCAUCUCUAAGCCUAGCUCUCAAUCCACUGAGCUACCUAGCUGCCCUCUUGUAGUUGUUUUUUAAAAAUUAAACAUCAUAAUCCUUUUUAGAAGAAUCUAAUAUCUAGAAUUAUUUGGAAAGUUAAAAAUUUUUAAUGGCAAAUUUUUAAGUUGUAUUAAGGUAAUUGGGAAAAGGGUGAAAUAGUAAAUAUGAAGGCAGAAAUAAUUUAUUUGAAUAAAUCUUUCAAAAGUCUUAAAGUGCUGUUUAGUAAGAUUUUGGAAAUUACUGUGAUUGUUUUGUUUUGCUGAGAGGAUAGUUAUUUUCUUUUUUUGUCAAAAUAAUAAAAAGCAAAUUCUUAUUUUAAAAAAUGUCAGAAUCUGCCAGGUCCUGGGUUUGUCAUCUUUGUUUAGAAACAGGUCUCAGAAAAUAUGCAAAAUUUCCUCAUCCUAAUUAAGGAAAUGGGACUUACCUGUUAUAGGUGUCAACCUUGAAAAACACGGAACCACAAAAGUAAUUGGAAUGAACAAGUCUUUAAUCAGGACAAGGGAGACAGAGUUUGUAUGGUCACCACACAGAGCCAAGCUCUGGGACUCUGGGAACAAUGUCUCCUGGAAAAUGCACCAUGCAUGGAAAUGGCCAUCAUGGGAAUUUCCAAUGAACUGAAGAACUUGUGGUCCUAUAUACCCUUUAGGAAAUAAAGGAAGGACAACUGAUUGGCUUACAUGGAGGCUAAGGAAAGAGACUUUACAACCUGGGAGAUUCUAUCCAAAGUGCUUAAUGGGUGCUUGAUGACUUUUUGUUCAAUCUGGGACAAAGGUCACUCUGGGAGUUCCUGGAAGGCAAGAUCCCAAGGGACAAAGGUAAAUUUGGGGGUUCUAUAAAAUAACAUUGCCCUUGGGAAAGCUAUGUUGUCAAUUAGUGGUUCCAAAAGGGAGCUACCUUUAUGACUAAAAGUUGGAGGAUCUCCUUUUUGAGAACUGGCACUAUUUUGGAGAAUAGGGAUUCUUUGGAGAACUGGGAAUCCUUGAACUAAAAAAAAAUUUUUUUUAAUAACUAUUUCAAAUAGAAUUUAUUUCCUUUGUAAUUUUCUGCAAAAUUUACAUUUGUAAGGGACAGCUGGGUAGCUCAGUGGAUUGAGAACCAGUCCUAGAGACAUUCAAAUCUGGCCUCAGCCACUUCUUAGCUGGGCAAGUCACUUGACCCCCAUUGCCUAGCCCUUACCACUCUUCUGCCUUGGAGCCAAUACACAGUACUGGCUCCAAGACAGAAGGUAAGGGUUGUUGUUUUUAAUUUACAUUUAAGAACAUUACUCAGAGAAGUAGGGAACAGGCUUCAAUCAGACUACCAGAGGGGUCCAUGAGCAUGAGGCAAAAAAAAAAAAAGAUUUAAGAAGUUCUGUCCUAGAAAUGUAAAGGAAGUUGUUUUUAGGUGCCAAGUAGAAAGAAGGAGCCCAGAAUUUAAUCCUGAGGUUUUCCUCUAUAGCAUGGAAGCUUGGGCAUGAUUUCUGACCACAGGUCCUACCUAUAGACUAAAGGCAUACAUCAGAGCAUUUGUCUUUUUAAGAUUUCAUGUGUUUUUUUGUUACAAAUUGAUUACCUGCUUUUACCUAGAGAUUGUUCUCUACCUGACCUUUGUCUCUAGCUUCUUGUCCUUGGAAGCCAGAAUAACAUUGAAUUACAUUCACCUCACUAAAAUAGCUUUCUUCACCAAAUUUUUUGGGUUCUUUCCCCAUUAGCUUAUGGAACUUCCACCUCCUUUUCUCCCCAUGGAAAAUCUACAUUCUUCCUCUUUGGAUGGGGCCAGUCCCUUUUUGCCAUCUGAAUAUUGAAACACUUUUAUUUUUGUAUUUUUAAAUUUUAUUUAAUUAAUUUAGAAUAUUUUCCCAUGGUUACACGAUUCAUGUUCUUUCCCUUCCCAUAUCCCUCCUCCCUUCCUUGGCUAAUGAACAGUUCCACUAGGUUAUACAAGUAUCAUUGUUCAAAACCUAUUUCCAUAUUAUUAAUAUUUGCAAUAGAGUGAUCAAUUAAAGUCAACAUCACGAAUCAUAUACCCAUUGAACCAUGUGAUCAAUCAUAUGUUUUUCUUCUGAAAUUGUCCUGGAUCAUAGCAUUGCAAUUAGUAGAGAAGUCCAUUGCAGUUGAUUGUGCCACAGUAUAUCAGUCUCUGUGAACAAUGUUCUCCUGGUUAUGCUUCUUUCACUCUGCAUCAGUUCCUACAGGUCUUUCCAGUUCUCAUAGAAAUCCUCCAGUUCAUCAUUCCUUUCAGCAUAAGAGUAUUCCAUCACUAUCAGAUACCACAAUUUGUUCAGCCAUUCCUCAAUUGAGGGAUACUUCCCCCACCCCCAAUUUUCCAGUUGUUUGCCACCACAAAGAGCACAGCUAUAAAUAUUUUUGUACAAGUAUUUUUCCCUGAUUAUCUCUUUGGGGUACAAACCCAGCAGUGGUAUGGCUAUAUCAAAGGGCAGGCAGUCUUUUAAAACCCUGUAGGCAUAGUUCCAAAUUGCCUUCCAGAAUGAUUGGAUCAAUUCACAACUCCACCAGCAAUGCAUUAAUGUCCCAAUUUUGCCAAAUUCCCUCCAACAUUUAUUACUUCCCUUUGCUGUCAUAUUGGCCAAUCUGCUAGGUGUGAGGUAGUACCUCAGUAUUGUUUUGAUUUGCAUUUCUCUACUGUAAAGAUUAAAAUUUAGGGGAGAUGGAGAGACUGAGGCAGGUAGAAAUUAGUUUCUCUCUGCAAGGAGUAUUAUAUUUUUUAGAGGUUUAUUAAAGGUUAAAGAUUAAAGAAUAUACAAGUAAGAAACAUGUGCCUAGGCCAGAGGCCUAGACAAAAUAACCUCACAUCACGCAAGAGACCGCCUGCUCCAAAACGGAAGUCCAAAAAGAGCCGAGAGAGAGAGAGAGAGAGAGAGAGAGAGAGAGAGAGAGAGAGAGAGAGAGAGAGAGAGAGAGAGAGAGAGAAAGGGGAGAGAAGGGAAUAGGGCUUAAAUACCCCUUCUGUUUAGGCUGGGCCAAAAGGCCCAAGCCCUUAGAUAGCUGAGGCAAAGAAAAGAGAUCAGUCCCUAUCACUCACGUGACCAAAAUGGAGAAACAGUCUCAGGGGCCUCCACCUCCAGCUUUCUUCAGAGCAAACUCCUCAAAGCACCACCACUCAGAGCAAAAACCUCUCCAACCAACCAACCGCUCAGUCCUCAGACCCCUCUCUCUUUAAGGAAACCAUCCAAGUUCCCUCCCCUCAGUUCUCACAUCUACCAAUCACUGUCCAUGUCUUCCCUGUGCCAAUGGUGGCUCUAGCUUAACCCAGGACCGCCCAGAGGUCUGGUGGCUUUGCACAUGUCUGUUGAAGGUCAUAUUCUCAAAUAAUUAAAUCUUGAUCCUUUGCUGCAGCCCUUCCUAAAUCCUGUUAGGACCGAGUGGGGUGGAAAUUGUAUUUUCCAAGAGCUGGUUCUGUCAUUCCAAGUAUCUCUAUUGUAUCAAUUCUAAAAUCAAUCAUGACUCAAAGAAAUUCCUGUUCUAUGCUUAAGCAUAGGUCAAAGCCCUUUCCAUUGUUCAGCAAAAGGUUUCUGUCCUAAAGUAAUCUUAAGUAGGGAGGAGGAGGAACCUCCCAUGCCAGUGGGGUUCACAUUCCAAUAGAGUUCCCACUAUCAAUAGGAAAUUUUUCAAGUAUGAAAUUUCCCAAUGGUGAAAUUUCCAACAUUUAUAAGUCUAAGAAAUUUUAAGGUUUACACUACCAGAGAUUUAGAACACUUUUUCAUAUACUCAUUGAUAGUUUUGAUUUCUUUAUCUGAAAACUGCCUGUUUAUCAAUUGGGGAAUGGCUUUUUUUUGUACAAUUGAUUUAGCUCCUUAUAAUUUUGAGAAAUUAGACCUUUGUCAGAGGUUUUGGUUAUAAAGAUUUUUUUCCCCAAUUUGUUGUUUCUCUUAUAAUUUUGGUCACACUCGUUUUGUUUGUAUAAAACCUUGGUUUUGUACCUUGCUUGGUCUUAAAUCUUUCUUUUCCAUAGUUCUGACAGGUAUACUAUUCUAUGUUCACCUAAUUUACUUAUAAUUUCCUUGUUUAUAUUUAAGUCAUUUACUCAUUCUGAAUUUAUCUUGGAAUAGGGUGUGUGAGAUGUUGAUCUAAACAUAAUCUCUCCCAUACUGUUUUCUAAUUUUCCCAGCAGUUUUUGUCAAAAAAUGGGUUGUCCCAAAAGCUGGAAUCUUUGCGUUUAUUGAACACUAACUUACUACUAUCAUUUACCCCAAGUCUGUUCCAUUGAUCCUCCCUUCUGUCUCUUUGAAAAAGUAUUUCAAAAAAGAGAAACAAUACUGAAAACUUCUUUUAUGGAACCCUCAAAUUUAAACUUUGUCCCUUAGGAACUUUCCUUGAAGGAACUUCCAGACAGACCCUUGUCCCUGACUGAACAAUGGACCAUUAAGCAUCCAUUAAGUACCCUGAAUAGGAGAGAUAGAGAUACUCAAACCUCAAGUAUCCUUUUUUGUCUUCUUAGCCUCUCAGGCUACUCCCUGGUACCUCAGCCUCUGGCUGCAACCUCUUUCCCAAGCUUCCUUGUAACCAAUCAGUGUGUAUGUUCCCUUCUUUCAUUCCCCAGAGUUCUUUAGUUCAUUGGGAAAUCCCUUUUCAAGGUGUAUUUUCCUCGACAGUGUUCAUAGAGUCCCAGAGUUUGCCUCUGUGUGAUAUCUUUUGAAUGACUAUGUGGUGACUGGUAGAAAGCAUUGUCUCCCUCAUCCUGAUUAAAGACUUGUUCUAACUACUUUAGUGUUUCUGUGUUUUUCAAAGUUGACAUUACAAAAGAAUAUGAGCUACAGAAACAAAGUUUACCAAUUCAAAGACAUAGCUGAAAGGCUGAGAAUAAUGACCAUUCUGACACAAGUCAUUGGGAAUUCCACCAUCUUGGAACCCAACCAUGACUAUAUAACUGGUUAAAAAAAAAACAAAAAACCUCUAAACAAAAAAAUAACCCACUAAGCAGUUAGGAAAGGGAUUGCUAUAAAACCCAGGAACCUGAAACCUGAGAUUGAAUUGUAUGUAAAAUUACAGUUAGGUUAUUGAUUGCUGAAUUUGCUAAUCUAGUUCUGGCUGGCUGGCAACCUUCAUUCAGCUGCUAAGGUUACAGCUAACACUGGACUAGGAGUGGGUGGGGUGGAUGGCAAUGGAAACUGACACCAGCUCUCAAAGCUAGACUUCCCAACUCGAAAACCCAUUGGCAUGAAACCAUUUGGAGCAAUGGCUGACUGCCCAGGACCAAGUCAAUAGCCUGAGGCAUCACUUUAAAAUACAAUAACUGAGUCAGCAAGAAAAGAUCAAGUUACUUUCCAUGUACUCAGUUUAAGAAGGAGGUUAAAAAAAAAAACCAAACUCUAGUAUUUAGUCCAGCCAGGCAUAAUCCUUUCCUGGGCAUCUUUAUCUUAAGAUUAUUACUACAUGAAGUGAUAUCUUGGUCUCACCCUUCUGGAGGCCCAGAGAAUUUUUUAAAGGAAAGUUAAGACUCUUUAAAUUCAAUUCAACUCAAUUCAGAUCAAUUAUGGAACAUCCACAAUAUAUUGGGGAUUUUGAUAUGCAGCUGAGAAAGAUAAAUAGGUCAGGGUACCUGCCCUCAAGGCAUUUGUAGGCUAGUAGGGAAUAUCAUGUAAAUCCAUAACUAUUUGUCCAUGUAUUUAUUUUUAAGCCUUUACCUUCUGUCUUGGUGUUGUCAACUUGGAUCAAGCAAGAGACAGGUCCUUAAAUAAUUGGCUGCCACACAGAGCUAAAUGCUAAAUACUAUACAGUGUCAAACCCUGGGGGCCUCUGGGGACAGAAUCUGAGAGGAUUACAGAGCUAGAUGGUUCUCCAAAGAAUAAUAGAAUAUAGGGAUCUUAUAUACCUUUUGGGGAAUUAAGCACAGCAAACAUAUACUGACAGGUUGUAAGCAGGAUUGGGAAAGAGACUGUAGCCAGAUUUUGGGGUAUCAGGAAGGAUAAUUUCUAUGGAGAAAAAGACCAAAAUACAGAAGUAACAGCAGAGAGUGACAAAUAAGUAAAUAUAUCCAAAUUUUCCCCCAAAAAUGAAAAUUGGUCACAAGCUCUUGAGGAACUCAAAAAGGAGUUCAAGAACCUAGUAAGAAAAAUGGGAGGAAAAGUGGGGAAAAGAAAUGAAAGUCAUUCAAAAAGAAAAUAAUAGCUUAAAAAAUUUCCCACAUGGAAAAAAAAGGCACAGAAAUCAAAUGAAGUAAUAAGCAAACUGGAGACCAGAAUUGAUCUGCUGGAAGUCAUGAAAAGCAGGAUAGACCAAACCAAAAAGGGAAAUCAAAAGGUCAUAGCUGAAAAUCAGCCUUUAAAGUCUAGAAUUGGGCAAGUAGAAGCUAAUGAUGUCAUGAAAUAGCAAGAAGUAAUAAAGCAAAAUCAAAAGAAUGAAAAAAUAGAAGGAAACCUGAAAUAUCUCAUUGAAAAGACAACAGACCUAGAAAACAGAUCCAGGAGAGGCAAUAUAAGAAUUAUUGAUCUAACAGAAAAUCUAGAACAAAAUAAAAACCUUGACAUCAUAUUACAAGAAAUUAUCCAAGAAAACUGCCCAGAUAUUCUUGAACAAAAAGGCAAAAUAAACAUUUAAAGAAUCCAUAGAUCACUGCCUAAUCAGCAUGAGGGAGACAAUGCUCUUAUAGGCAACCACACAGAAUCAUAUACACACCAUCACACAGAACCACCCAGUUCCACUAUCUCCAGCAAAAAGACCAAGAAUGGGAAUUUCUAUCAAACUAAAGAACUUGAGGUUAUAUCUAUAUCUUAUGAAGUAUAAGCAAAGAGAAACAAUUGGCUAGUUGGUUACUUAGGGGUUUAGGAAAGAGGUUGUAGCCAAAGGCUAGGAUACCUGAGAGCUAGCCCAAAUACAAUAAGAGAAACUUAGAAGAAAAAAAGGGUACUUAAGACUUGAGUCUAUCCACCAUUCCUUUUCAGGGUGCUCAGAGGGUACUUGAUAGACUAUUAAUCAGUCUGGGACAAGGGUCAAUCAGGGAGUUUCUUCAAAGCAAGUUUUCAUGGGAUAAGGGUAAAUUUGGGGUUUCAGGCUAAUUGGUGUGAUGGGUGUGAGUUUUAAUAGGCUUAUUUAACCCCAGUGAAAUUCUUUGUGUUUUGGUUCACAUCUUCCUCUGAGUUUCUUUUCUAGCACUAACUUGAGGUGUUCCAGUGACCCUGCACUCUUUUUUUCCCCUUUUUUCUUAGCAUCAGUUCUAAAACAGAAAAUUGGUAAGGACUUGCCAGUUGGGGUUCAGUGUCUGGGUCACAUUUGAACCCAGGAUCUCCAACUCUAGCCUAGCUCUCUAUCCAUUGUGACUCUGUGUUUGGGAAAGUUCUACCAGUGAAGUGCAAGCCCUGACAAGGUGCUAUUGUUGUGGGGUUCAGAGUAUGAACACCUGGGGUUUGGGAAGGAUACCUUUCGCAAGAAUGCAAGACUUCAAAACAGCUUAAAAGUAAAGAGAGAGGUUUAUUAGUAAUGUUAAAUUUUUGGGGCCAGCAAGACAGUAUGAGUGGAACAGCCUGGGGGGUUGCUUCCAGAACGCCUCAAUUCUGGGGGUUUUAUAUUCUUCUGCAGCAUCUAGGACAUGACUCUGGAGCAAGGGGUUGGGGGGGGCAGGUUAGCCUGAGGGCAUGGGGGUAGUUCUCAUGAUUUGUAGGAUGAAUGAAUGUCCAUCUAAAUUCAAUGGAGCAAUCAAAGGAGGUUAAUCUCCAAGGCAAGGUGUUUUGGGUUGGGAGUCACAAGGGCCUAGGGGAGCAGAGGAAUUUCCCUGAUAAUAGUUUGCCUGAGUUUCUGGGGUACAAUGCCCAUGCCACUAUCAAAUUUAAUUAGGAGUCAGACAGUGUAUUGUAGGCCCCUCAUUUAAGAUCCAGACCUUACACCUAGAGAUGGGAGGUCCUAAGUUCAAAUCUGGCUUCAGAUGCUUCCCAGCUGUGUGACCCUGGGCAAUUCACUUAACCCCCAUUGCCUAGCCCUUACCACUCUUCUGCCUUGGAACCAAUACUCAGUAUUGAUUCCAAGAUGGAAGGUAGGGGUUUAAAAAAAAAGAUAUAGACCUUAAAGAAGCUUUAUCUCAGAAGACUAGGUCACAAUCAUCAAAUACAAACAUUGGAGUCCGAUGAUAUGAAUUCAAAUCCUGAUUUGACUACUUGCUAACAAUGUGAACUCAGGUAAAUAAAUCUUCCUGUGGGGGCUUAAGUUCCUGAAUGAACAAAAUAUUUAUUAGGUACUUAUGUUGUGCCAAGCACUGAGGAUACAAAUAGGAAAGUUGGAAAGGUCCUGUGGUUCCUCAAAGGAAGUAGCAAAACAGACAGUAAUGCCUCUUUUUGAGUGUCAUUUCCACUGAUAAAAUUUGAGUUUUGGUAUUGAACCAUUUGACAGUGCCAAGGAUCCUGGUGACAAGAAUUUUCUUUUCUGGCUUCAAUAGCUGUGGCUUUAGCAUCCAAAAGGAAUAGUUACUAGACUAUAUCUCCAUAAAGAUUACUUCCCAGGAUGAUGACUUGUAAAAUUUAAAAUUAAAUCUUAAUAAUAAAAACAUUAUAUUUUAAGGAAUUUAUUAGUGAUCAUUAGAAAUAAAGGAAUAAAGAAAAAAAAGAAAGAAAGACCAUGUGCCCAUGGCUGAUCAGUCUGUUGAAAAUCCCACUCACCACUGUCGUGUCAAGAUGCCAAAGAGAGUGGAAUCUUCCACAUCCCUGCCUAAUAUCCCCUGUCUACAGGAAGUAUGUAAUGACAGGAAAUCAGUGGACUCCCAGAAAAUGUAGUUCUUUUUAGGAUAACAGAUUUUCAAUUAGACAUCACCCCCUGAGAUCUGUGAAAGACUGGUAUCUGCAAUGAAUCUUGUAAAUAUAACCAACUUUUAAAUUACAAUAAUUUGGGGAUAAAAGGAAAAGAGAACAAAACCAAUGAUUGAUCUAGUCCUUUUUUCUCUCUUACAGUAUGGCAACUUCCUGUAGUCUUGGCUGCAAAUGGGCAAGUGAAAUAUUACUGUAUUUUGUCCUUGUGGUAUUUGUGGGAUAGAAAUUACUUUAAUUGGACCCUAAUAUAAGGGCCUAUUAUGAAUUUAUUCUUGUUUACUCAAAACAUAGGUUUUUGAUAUUUUUAUUCUUAUUUUGAAUUUUUUCUUUCUCCCAAAAGUUAAAUUUUUCUUCCAUUUGCUUUUCUUUUAUGUUUUGUUUUUGAUAAUUCAUUCAGAUACCCCAUAACUCAACCAUGUAUCCUGAGCUAAACUGGGUGUUAAAAUCCUUGUUCUUCCAGGAAAGAAGCUUGCUAACCUCUAAAGUCCAGAGAAUGAAUUGUUUGCAGAAAAAUGCCUGCAAAACCUACACUACAUCAAAAAGAUCCAGAAUGAACUUUGGGGUGUGGUUGACUGAAUUGAAGGUUGAUUGAACAUUUAUUUUGAAUGUAUAUUCUUAUACCAAAGGAGACUGCCCCCUAGUUGGUUUUUGUCAAUGUGCCCAGCAAAACAUUGGUUUUGCUAUCUCUCUCUUUGAUUUCCCUCUCAUCUCUAACGAUUGUAGUUUCCUCUUAGAAGGUGAAAUUUUGUAUGCACCUGUAGUUAGAAGAUUUUAGAGGUACAAGAUCAGUUGGGAGUCUAGUCUCCCAAUCAUCAUCAGGGGUCAUUAUGAAAUUGAGAUUAACUCCAUCCUACUUAUUCUAUAGAAUUUUAGCCACCAGGAAUGUAGACACCCCCACUUAAGGAUUAAGUGUCCGGGAGGAAGGUCUAUGAGCCAUGUGUACUAGCAAGUGAGAAAUCAGAAACAACUGGCUAACCCCCUAGGCAGUCCAAAGCCAAGUUUAACAGUAGUAGUCACAGGAAGUGACUCAAAGAACUGCCUUUAAAUUUUGCGGAACACUUCCUAUGAGGAGGUCUUCACCUUGGAACUUGACCGUGGAGGAGCUCGGGCUUGAGAUCUCAGACUGCUUCGCUUUGGGCUGCCACCUGAGAAUGGUCUCUGAAGAGAAAGAGAUUGAGAAGAAGCUAACAUGUAGAAGAAUAGUGUCAAACUCAAAGGAAAAGUGCAAAUGAACAUUAUUUAUGUUUGAUUGUAUUUUUAUUUAUUUUGUAAAUAUUUCCCAAUCAGAGACUGUUGUUGGACUUGUGAACUGAUCCAGCUCUUCUGGAGAGUAAUUUGGAACUUUGCCCAAAGGGCUAUAAAACUGUGCAAACCCUUUGACCCAGCAAUCUGUAUCCCAUAGAGAUUUUUUAAAAAGAGGAAAAGGACCUAUUUGCACAAAAAUAUUUAAAGAAGCUCUUUUCGUGGUGGAAAAGAAUUGGAAAUUGAGGGGAUGCCCAUGAGUUGAGGAAUGGCUGAAUAAGGUGUGGUAUAUGAUUGUAGUGAAAUACUAUUGUGCUUUAAGAAAUAUCAGAUAGCUCUGUGACCUUGAACAAUUCACUUAAUUGUAAUAGAAAUGAACAUUAUGUUAUUGAUUCUAAGAUGGAAGGUAAGGGUUUAAAAAAAUAUCAAAUAGAAUAAUUCCAGGAGAGCUCAUUCCCUCUGUGUGUUUUCUGGUAUAUUCUCAUGAGUAUACCUUCUUUGAUUUCUUUUUGCUUUCAGCCUAGAUAAAUGGUUUCCUUGCUAUUAACUACAUUUGGUUUUUGUGGAACUGGCAUUUGGUGGCGAGGGAAUCAAGCCUUGGAUAUAUAGCUCAUUCUUUCCUUUAAAAGGAUAGUGAUCAGGAGCAUAGCUUGAACCUAAAAAUUAUUUUCUUUUUUAAACCCUCACCUUCCAUCUUAGAAUCAAUACUGGGUAUUGGUUCUAAAGCAGAAGAGUGGUAAGGACUAGGCAAUGGGGGUCAAGUGACUUGCCCAGGGUCAGAAAUUGUUUGAAUACAUAUUUAUAUUGAAAAUCCAUUUGCACCAAUAGGAAAAAUUAUAGUAAAAUUAUUUUUUAAAUUGCAUCAAAUCAUUGGUCCUUCUAGUAUAUAUCUUCAGAAAGGAUUGAUUGAACAUUUUACUCUUCUGCUCAAAGUACUUUCUUUUUUUUUUUAAUCCUUACCUUUUGUCUUGGAAUCAAUACUGUGUAUUGGUUCCAAGGCAGAAGAGUGGUCAGAGCUGGGAAAUGGGGGUUAAGUGACUUGCCCAGGGUCACAUAGCUAGGAAGUGUCUGAAGUUAGAUUUGAACCCAGGCCCUCCCAUCUCUGGAUCUGGCUCUUAAUCCACUGAGCCACUUAGCUGCCCCUUAUUUUCUUAGAUUAACAAUAAUAUAUAUAUAUAUGUUUGUGUGUGUAUGUGUAUAUAUGUACACAUAUACAUACACACAUAUAUUCCUACAUACCUAUAUACACAAACCAUAUAUCCAUACAGAUCUGUAGAUAUUGAUAUAAAUAUAUAUGUGUACCCCUUGGAGAAGGGUGUGCAAAUUAUAUUCUAUAAAGAUAACUCUCUUUGCGUCACAUCUGGAUAGACCCAAUGGACACAUAUAAGUUUCAUGGGUGACACCCCUGUACAUAUUUGUUGUCAUUGUUUAGUCAUUUUAGUUCUACCUGACUCUUCAUGACCCCAUUUGGGGUUUUCUUGACAAAGACAUGGGAUACUUUUCUAUUUCUGUCUCCAGUUCAUUUUAUAGAUGAGGAAACUGAGGCAAACAGGAUUAAGUGACUUGCCCAGGGUCACCCAGCUAGGAAGAAUCUGAGGCCAUAUUUAAACCCAGGAAGAUGAGUCUUCCUGAUUUCAAGCUCAGAACUCUAUCCAUUGCACCACCUCACUGACCAAGCCCCAUACACAUAUGAAAUCCUCUAUUUGGUAUUUUGUAAAAAAUAGACUCGAAUCCAGGACUUCAAUCCCCAGAAGCCCUUGCUCCACUUCCCCAGAAUGCUUUGUAAUCUCACUGAAAACCUCACCUGGGCGGAGAACAAGAUGGGGUAUUUAACCUGAUUGCAAAGGCUUUUGUUCGCUGUUCUCCUCCUGGCUCCGCUGGCAAACAGACGUGUCUCAUGAUGUGAGUGAAAUUUGGGUGGGCCUCAUGGCUCACCUAGCAUGUGCAUCUCUUGCUUGUAUUUUCUUUAAUCCUUGACCUUUAAUAAGCCACUAAAAAAAAUAAUACUCCUUGCAGAGAGAAACUAAUUUCUACAUGCCUCAGUCUCCCCUAAAUUUUAAUCUUUACAGUUUUGGCUUACCACUUUGGAAAAACGAAAUACUCUCAAUCUUCUGAUUCUUUUCUGAUCUUAAGUUCAGCUUUUAAUAGCUAGUGCCUAGAAAUUUUUUUGAUCCACUUUUCUCUGGCUGAGGUUUUUUACCCUUGCAAAGCAGCUGCUUGUUCCAGCCAUUAGAUAGCUCACAGGCUCGCUCCGGACCUAUUGCGUUUGCUGCCCACCUGGCCCCUGGCUGCUAAGUUCUGCCUGCCUGCCACUGCCACCUGCUUCGGACAGCCACUUCUCCUUGCCUGUGUGUGUCCUUGUCUGCAGCCCCCGCUCCAGGCUCCAGACCUGUUUGCAGAUUGCAGCUCACCUGCCCACCCUGGCUGCCUGCUCUGGCUCCUGGCCCUGCUUGCCUAUGUUCCUAGCCUACCCGGGUGCUCUCUCUAGCACACCCGGCCCCUGUUUAACCCAGAUUGCAAUCACCUGGUGAUCUGCCUGCCCAACAAACUCUAGCCUUGGAGCAGAUUCACUCAUCACUCAGGACUCAUUUCUACCAGCUGGUAACAAACAAACAGGGGCAUUGGCCACGUGGGGGGAGGGGAGAGACAAGAGGGAAAGGAGAAUGGGUAAUUUUCCCUUAGGCUAAGGGGUAUUGACCAUGUGGGCGGAUCAUAGGAGGAGAGAAAAAAGGGAGAGGAGAAGAAAUAGACUUACGAACAGGAACUUAAAAACAUGGCUAUUUUACAAGGAUGUCUUUUAAUUGCAUUGAUCCUUUUAUUGACUUCACCUGCGUUCCUUUUAGCUAACUUUGGGGGAAAAACUCUGCUUCUCAGCAAACUAAGAGCCAGGCCUAAAGACAUGUGGUCCUGGGUUAAAAUCUGGCUUCAGAUACUCCCCAGCUGUGGGGCCCUGGAUGGGUCCCUUAACCCCCAUUGCCUAGCCCUUACCACUAUGCCUUCCGACAAUAGACAUUUAAAUGGAUAAUUAAUAGUAAAAAAGCACACCUAAGGAACUUUAAAGACUGGAGUUUAUAUAUUUUAAGGCAUUUCAGACUCCAAUGGUUUAUAUAAAUCUCUGUAUUUCUAUUGCAUUUUCCUGAUUGUUUUGUUUAAGAUAUAACUUUGUGAUUUUAAGUUCAUAUAUUAUUGGAUUCAAUAUUAUUCUGUUAUACUGUUCAUUUAAUGUACUGAGUUUUAAAAUUCUGUUGCUUUUCCCCUAUAACCAUAUAUUGAAAAAAUAUCAUUGUAAUUAAGCCCAUUAUGAAAAAACAUCUUUUUUCUAUUUUUGCCUUUAUAAAUUGUCACAUAGAGGAUAGAUGGACUUCAUCAGAACUGGACAAUUGUAUUAACAACUUUGGAAAUUUUAAUGUGCUAAAUAUCUCAACUGAUUUUAAGGGUUUUUUAAAUAUGAUUUUUGGAAUUUUUUUUUAACAAUCUCUGGUUAUUUUUGCCUGCCCCUACCAUGAGGUAAGACCCAUAGCUGAAGUGAAAUACAAUUAUAACCCCCAAUCUUCCUGCAUUUCUAAAUAUGUGAAUGGAAGUUGGGGCAGUUAAUCUCAGGGCAUGUAUCCCUAAAAAAAGCCUCCAAAAAGGAGCACCCCUCAUUUAUACUUUUCAGCUCAUUACUUUACUUCUACCAGAAUGAUAUGUAGAUUUCUUGAUUAUGUUUUUAACCCAAAAUGAGUUUUAUUUUGUUUAAAAAUAUGUUUAAUACCAAGGUUGAAAGAUUUGCUACAUUUGUAAAAAAAACUUGUGACAAAUAUCCAUCAAUUCAUAGGUUUAAAAAAAUGCCAUACAACAACUUAUGUAAAAUAUGAUAGUGUGUUUGUUUGCUAUUGUAAUUAAUUGGGCUAUUGAGAAUUUUGGGGAUAUUGAUAUUACAUAUUUGUACUACUAUUCUUUAAAAAUGAAAAACGUUACCUUGCUCAAUUCAUUUGCCUUAUACUCACAGUGAUCAUGGCCAGAUAUGAAGAGGAAAUGGAUAUCAUUUUUGGUGAGAAAGCCUUGUAUGCUAUAUUUUCUUAGCUGACACAGUGUGUCAAUGAUUAUAAGCUAUAUUUUUUAAUUUUUAAAGCUCUUUUAUUAUAUUUUCUUGUAUGUGCAAUAUACUAUUUCAGUGUUUUUUAAUUUUUCUCUCUUUUUUAUAUUUCAAGCACAUGUCACCAGCAUUACGAUUUUCUUUAACUUUUUGAUUUUUCAGUACUAUAAGUUUAAAAUACAUUUGCUAAUGCAUGCCCCAAAAGCUUGUGACUAUAAAAAUGAUGCCACUAAUUAUUUAAAAAAUUAUGGGACCUUGCUUAAUAAUUCUGUCUGAUUCCAGGACAAGAUAUACACACAAGAGCCAUUGCACAGAGCCAAAGAAAAGCCAAUCCAGGAUGGAUUGAUGCACUUCUAGGCCAAUGGAAAGAUUUUGAACCUAGUGUGAAGACUCAAGGUUACUGUGUUUAUUGUUGCUAGACAUAGGCUUUCCUUGUGUCCACACUCACUCUGAAAAUACUCACAGAUGAGUAUCCCCGAAACCUUGGCUCCUACUUGGCUCCUAUAAUCUGGUCCCUUUGCUGUCUUUCAUAGUGUGGUACCUUUCUGUAGUCCUGGCUACUGCCUGGGUAAAUGCAUCAAUGCUUAGAACAUUUUAAUUGGGCCCUAAUUUAAGGACCUGUUAUAGAUUUAUUUUUCUUUUUACUUGGAAUUUUUACACAUAAGACUUUGAUAGUCUAUAUUUUCAUCCAGUAUUUUCUUUUUUUAUUUGGAUUUUUCUGAUGUCUUUUUAAUUUCUCUUACCAAUUAGUUCAUAUACCUCAUACCUCAGCCAUGCAUCCCUAAGUGAUCCUGUAUUUUUCAAUCACCCACAACAUGGGGAAAUGUAAAAAAAUAUUAUUAUUUAAAUUGCAAAGUUUAAAUUCUUUUUUAGAAAAUGUAAAAAAAGAUUAUUAUUUAAAUUCCUUUUGAGAAGAAUUUUAGGUAAAGAAAGAUGAUAUCUCUCUGAAUCCAGAAACUGAACUGUUGAAGAUACCAUGAAGAAGCCUCCAGACCACAAGUGCACAAAAAUGAACUUUGGGUGUGGUUGAUUGAACAUUUAUUUGUAUGUAUACUUUCAUGCCAAAGGGGACUGCCCCCUAACUGACUUUUUGUCAAUGCGACCAGCAAUGAUUGGUUUUGUUUUGUUUUUUUUCCCCCUCUUAUCCUCAUAUUAUUGUAAUCUUUAAGUUGAUUAUGUUUACAUGAUCCUUUGGGGGGAAAAUUAAUUUUUUCCAAAAAUGAUCACACAGCGAAAUGUAAAAAAUAGACUCGAAUCCAGGACUUCAAUCCCCAGAGGCCCUUGCUCCACUUCCCCAGAAUGCUUUGUAAUCUCACUGAAAACCUCAUCUGGGCAGAGAACGAGAUGGGAUAUUUAACUGGAUUGCAAAGGCUUUUGUGCACUCGUCUCAUGAUGUGAGUGAAAUUUGAGUGGGCCUCAUGGCCCACCUAGCAUGUGCUUCUCUUGCUUGUAUUUUCUUUAAUCCUUGACCUUUAAUAAACCUCUAAAAAAAAAUAA